CCUACGGGAGGCAGCAGUGGGGGAUAUUGCACAAUGGGGGAAACCCUGAUGCAGCAACGCCGCGUGAGUGAAGAAGGUCUUCGGAUUGUAAAGCUCUGUUCUUGGUGAAGAUAAUGACGGUAGCCAAGGAGAAAGCUCCGGCUAACUACGUGCCAGCAGCCGCGGUAAUACGUAGGGAGCGAGCGUUGUCCGGAUUUAUUGGGUUUAAAGGGUGCGUAGGCGGGAUGCCAAGUCAGCGGUAAAAAUGCGGUGCUCAACGCCGUCGAGCCGUUGAAACUGGCGUUCUUGAGUGGGCGAGAAGUAUGCGGAAUGCGUGGUGUAGCGGUGAAAUGCAUAGAUAUCACGCAGAACUCCGAUUGCGAAGGCAGCAUACCGGCGCCCUACUGACGCUGAGGCACGAAAGCGUGGGUAUCGAACAGGAUUAGAUACCCGAGUAGUC
rnacentral:rRNA from 1 species